rnacentral:rRNA from 1 species
GUGCUUGCACUCAAUUGGAAAGAGGAGUGGCGGACGGGUGAGUAACACGUGGGUAACCUACCCAUCAGAGGGGGAUAACACUUGGAAACAGGUGCUAAUACCGCAUAACAGUUUAUGCCGCAUGGCAUAAGAGUGAAAGGUGCUUUCGGGUGUCGCUGAUGGAUGGACCCGCGGUGCAUUAGCUAGUUGGUGAGGUAACGGCUCACCAAGGCCACGAUGCAUAGCCGACCUGAGAGGGUGAUCGGCCACACUGGGACUGAGACACGGCCCAGACUCCUACGGGAGGCAGCAGUAGGGAAUCUUCGGCAAUGGACGAAAGUCUGACCGAGCAACGCCGCGUGAGUGAAGAAGGUUUUCGGAUCGUAAAACUCUGUUGUUAGAGAAGAACAAGGACGUUAGUAACUGAACGUCCCCUGACGGUAUCUAACCAGAAAGCCACGGCUAACUACGUGCCAGCAGCCGCGGUAAUACGUAGGUGGCAAGCGUUGUCCGGAUUUAUUGGGCGUAAAGCGAGCGCAGGCGGUUUCUUAAGUCUGAUGUGAAAGCCCCCGGCUCAACCGGGGAGGGUCAUUGGAAACUGGGAGACUUGAGUGCAGAAGAGGAGAGUGGAAUUCCAUGUGUAGCGGUGAAAUGCGUAGAUAUAUGGAGGAACACCAGUGGCGAAG